UGGAUUCUAACUGCCGUUAAGCAACAUAGAAGAAAAAGGUUCAUUUUAAACUCAUAACUAUGCAAACACAGAAAGUUUGAGUAUUUACAGUAAAUAGACUACGGAGCACCACUUUAAGAGAAAGAAAUGUCUCGCCCCAUCUAUAAAUUGAUCUUGGACAGGUAUUAUCAUCCUAAUCAACAAAUCUCCUAUGGGGAGAACCCUGACCGGAGGAGGAACUGCAAAAUGGGCAGAGCCUCUCGCUCCUCCUUAAGUGAAAACAACAUAUUACCUCGUCCUACUACUGAACAACUGAGGGGUGAAUUUACACGUCCUCCUACAGAGGGUCCUCCUACACCACCUCCUGCCCAAGUACCUGACUAACUGGAAGAUGAUGUUCAUUUUGUUUU